rnacentral:rRNA from 1 species
UGACAGUACUCCUACGGGGAGGCAGCAGUGGGGGAAUAGUUGCACAAUGGGCGCAAGCCUGAUGCAGCCAUGCCGCGUGUGUGAAGAAGGCCUUCGGGUUGUAAAGCACUUUCAGUCGUGAGGAAGGUAGUGUAGUUAAUAGCUGCAUUAUUUGACGUUAGCGACAGAAGAAGCACCGACUAACUCCGUGCCAGCAGCCGCGGUAAUACGGAGGGUGCGAGCGUUAAUCGGAAUUACUGGGCGUAAAGCGCAUGCAGGUGGUUUGUUAAGUCAGAUGUGAAAGACCCGGGGCUCAACCUCGGAAUAGCAUUUGAAACUGGCAGACUAGAGUACUGUAGAGGGGGGUAGGAAUUUCAGGUGUAGCGGUGAAAUGCGUAGAGAUCUGAAGGAAUACCGGUGGCGAAGGCGGCCCCCUGGACAGAUACUGACACUCAGAUGCGAAAGCGUGGGGAGCAAACAGGAUUAGAUACCCUGGUAG